rnacentral:rRNA from 1 species
CCCUACGGGGUGCAGCAGGCGCGAAACCUCCGCAAUGCACGGAAGUGCGACGGGGGGACCCCAAGUGCCACUCUUAACGGGGUAGCUUUUCUUGAGUGUAAAAAGCUUUUGGAAUAAGGGCUGGGCAAGACCGGUGCCAGCCGCCGCGGUAACACCGGCAGCUCAAGUGGUAGCCAUUUUUAUUGGGCCUAAAGCGUUCGUAGCCGGUUUGAUAAGUCUCUGGUGAAAUCCUAUGGCUUAACUGUGGGAAUUGCUGGAGAUACUAUUAGACUUGAGGUCGGGAGAGGUUAGCGGUACUCCCAGGGUAGGGGUGAAAUCCUGUAAUCCUGGGAGGACCACCUGUGGCGAAGGCGGCUAACUGGAACGAACCUGACGGUGAGGGACGAAAGCCAGGGGCGCGAACCGGAUUAGAUACCCGGGUAGUCCUGGCCGUAAACGAUGUGGACUUGGUGUUGGGAUGGCUUCGAGCUGCCCCAGUGCCGAAGGGAAGCUGUUAAGUCCACCGCCUGGGAAGUACGGUCNC